AGCUUUGCGCAGUAUAGUAGCCAAUAAGGUUUAUCGUAGGCGCGAUUAUUGCUAAUUGAAAACUUUUCCCAAUAUACCGCCUUGACGACUUGAAAUAUAGUCGGCAUUGGCAAUUUUUGACAGACUCAACGGAGA